rnacentral:lncRNA from 1 species
GGGCCUACAUCUAACCAAAAUGCAUCGAAAGCUGGAAACCUACAGCUUUAACCGAUUCGAGUCCAAAUGAAGGUUCUUGUCAAGUCAGCUAACUACGAAAUUCCCUGAGCCUGAAAUGUGAGGAAAUGAGGGUGGUGAGAUUAUAAAAUCUCAGUGAGUAAACAGAUACCAUCUAAACUAUCUAAAGUCGAGUAAAUAUAAACAAUUGAAAUAAGUCAUCAUACUGUAAUUUCAUUACCUUUCAACUCAUAUCAACCAAAUAAAAUCAAUCCAUAUAAAUCGAGUAAUCAACUUGGCUUAUGAAUUUCUUAAAAUUUUGGCUCGUUCUAGAACUCAUACUCGGUGAUACCUUGCGCAGGGCAUUCAAUCGAGUCCGCCAAGGCUGUUAAAAUUUUUGUAUACACUUAAAAUAUAUUUUUAGUUUGAGAAAAAUACAGUCGUUCCUUGGCGUUGGCUGAGUUCCCCUUCACGUGGUGGUUUGGCGUGAAGUGAACCCUAAGCUUUACCCUAUGAGAUACCCUACGCGCCUCUCCGUUCGAGGCAAGAAUAUAAUGUAGUUUACCGUGCCCCUCUAAUAGGCUGGUCCACGGAACCCCCUGUGUAGUGAAUAAUUAAUAUAUACUCCACCAAUCAAUAAAAUUCAUUCUAGCAUGACAUGGCAAUUUAUCGCAACCUAGCAUCUCAAAGCUGAAUACUCAAUACAAAUAUUUCUAACACCAAAAUCAGUUUAGCCAUUCAUGCUCAUAUAUUGUCAUAAGUCAUUCAAUUUAAAACCAUAAAUUUACAACACAAACAGGCAAUCUCUAAUUACUCUAUUUUCAAAACCAGUAUUCGAUUUUUCCAGAAAAUUUAUAAAAUCAUUUUAUAAAAUCGUAAUUUCUCCUAAAACAUAGCAAUUUACCAUUUAAACCCAUUUUUCAUAAAAUCACACAAUUGUAUAAAACUACUCUAAAUAAUUAAGACGAUAAUAAGUUCACUCACAGUUCUAGGAGUCGAUGUACUCCUAAUCCCAAUCUCCAAGCACAAUCUUUGUACUUUUUUCAGUGUACUUUGCUCACCACCUAUCCACAAUGUACAAUACAUAAUUCACCACAUCAAUGCUUGACCAUUAUAAAAUUAAUUCAGGCUCGGUAUAUAUGCAUGAUAUGAUAUACAACUUAUCCGACUACUGCUUAAAUGCGGUGCUGACCUAAUUCAGCCUAUUAUCUCCAAUUUAACUCCAAAUCAAUUCUUCUCACUUUCUACACUCCAAUUAUACGUAAAUUACCUUAGUGACUGUGAAUGAGAUUCAAUUUAUCAGUCUAGAUAGUAAAUUACGAAAAUACCCCUAGUGGGUAAAAAUUCAUAUUUUUGCUCCGAAAACUCCCAUUAUUUUUUUAGGCUCAUAAUUCAUUAUUAUUCAUCAUAAUUCCUCAAAUAAACAUCAAGAUCAGCAGCCAAUAUUCUCCUAAAAAAUUCGGCCAAUAAUGGUAAUGGAGGAAAAUAAAUUCUUUUCUUAUUGUUUUGUUCCUAAAUAUGCUAAACUAACUAAAAACACUAACAUAACUUAAAUUCAAAUUAAUCUAUCAACUUUCUCUCUCCUAACCCAUUUUGAUCAGCCAUCAAUUCAUCAUGAAAACAUGUAAUUUAAGCAUGGAAAAUAAGGAGAAAUGCUUAAGGAAAAUAGAUUUCAAGUUUAAGUUGAAAAAUCCUACCUUUUUCACUUGUUUUCCUUGAUUUUCCAUACUUUUUCUCUUGAAAUUCCUCACCUAGGGUUUGUUCUUCCUCUCUUUCUCUCUCUUCCUUGCUUGGCCGAAUAUUUGG